AUAGUCUUAAAUCAUUUCCUUGCAUCCUGUCAGGAUAAACAUGUCAAUCAAUCAAUCAAUCAAUCAAUCAAUCAAUGUUUACUUAUAUAGCCCUAAAUCACUAGUGUCUCAAAGGGCUGCACAAACCACUACGACAUCCUCUGUAGGCCCACACAAGGGCAAGGAAAACUCACACCCAGUGGGACGUCGGUGACAAUGAUGACUAUGAGAACCUUGGAGAGGAGCAAGAGCUCCUCAAUGUCGCAGCCCUUCCGGGCGCCGCCAUCUUGAUUGCAAGAUAUGCUGUAUGGAGAAUCUUACCCACUGGAAUCCCUCAGCCAAUUUAUGUCUCCUAAACGGAUAACAUUGAUGGAAGCUCAAACACAGAGUUUUACACCUUACAAUGUAGGCGAUACCUUUGGACCGACGUGGUGGACUUGUUGGUUUAAAGCAACCCUGAAUAUUCCAGAAUGCUGGAGAGGUAAAGAGGUUCAUGUUCUCUGGGAAAGUGAUGGAGAGGCGAUGGUUUGGAGGGAUGGACAAGCAGUUCAGGGUUUGACUAAAGAAGGUGAAAAGACGAGUUACAUUUUGUCUGACUGCCUCACAGACGAAGAACCGCACAGUGUUACCAUCUAUGUGGAAAUGGCCUGUAAUGGACUCUUUGGAGCCGGUAACGGGUCAAUGAUCGCACCUCCAGACCCAAACAGGAAGUUUUCUGUGCAAAAAGCAGAGCUUGUGAUCUUCAACCGGGAAGUCAGGGAGCUGAUGACGGAUUUUGAGAUGCUCAUUGACAUUGUCAAGGAACUUGGCGAGGGCGAGCAGCGAAGCUACCAGGCUCUGUUCACCGUCAAUGAGAUGGUGAACGUGAGCGACCCCACUGAUCCCAGCUCUUUCUCUGGAGCACGGAGUUUGGCUCAGAAUUUUUUUAGCCAACAUAACGGACAAAGCCAGCACACUGUCCACGCCAUGGGCCACUGCCACAUUGACUCAGCUUGGCUGUGGCCUUAUGAAGAAACUAUUCGUAAGUGUGCCAGGAGUUGGGUGACGGUGAUCCAUCUCAUGAAAAAGAAUCCGGAUUUUGUGUUUACAUGUUCUCAAGCCCAACAGUUUGAGUGGGUCAAGUGCUGGUACCCAGGACUCUUUUCAGAGAUUCAGCAAUACAUUAAGGCUGGCCGGUUCAUUCCAGUCGGAGGGACGUGGGUGGAAAUGGAUGGUAAUCUACCCUCGGGAGAGUCCAUGGUCAGGCAGUUCCUGGAGGGCCAGCUUUUUUUUGAGCAAGAGUUUGGGAUGAGGUGUAAAGAAUUCUGGCUUCCAGAUACCUUUGGAUACUCGGCCCAACUCCCUCAGAUAAUGCAGGGCUGCGGAAUUUCCAAUUUCUUAACACAGAAACUAAGUUGGAACCUCGUGAACACCUUCCCUCAUAACACAUUUUUUUGGGAAGGCCUCGACGGCUCCAAGGUCUUGACUCACUUCCCACCUGGAGAUUCCUAUGAAACAAAAGGCAAGGUUGAAGACCUUGUAAAAACUGUAAAGCAAAACAAAGACAGGGGCAGGGCAAACCACAGUGUCAUGUUGUUUGGCUUUGGUGACGGGGGUGGUGGUCCUACGCAGUUGAUGCUGGACAGACUGAAGCGGGUCCAGGACACAGAUGGCCUUCCUAAGAUUCGAAUGUCCUCUCCUGACUCAUUUUUCUCUGAGCUUUGGGCCGACUCACAUCUGCUGUGCACUUGGGCAGGGGAGCUGUUUCUCGAGUUGCACAACGGCACGUACACCACACAGGCACAGAUCAAGCGGGGAAACCGCCAGUGUGAGACACUCCUGCAUGACAUUGAGAUAGCCAGCAGCUUGGCACUGUGUCAGGACACACAUUUUCAGUAUCCUGUAGGGAGGCUGAGAGAACUCUGGAGGCUUCUGCUACUAAACCAGUUCCAUGAUGUAAUCCCAGGCAGCUGUAUUGAGAUGGUUGUAGAGGAUGCAUUGAGAUAUUAUGAAGAUAUUCGUAGGAGUGGUGCCGCACUCCUGCAAGAUAGCCUUAGUGCUCUGGUGUCAAAGGGCGAUGCCACAAGUGUAUUCAACUCUCUGUCCUGGGAGCGCCUUGAAGUCAUUCAGAUUCAGGAUGGCCCCAGCAAUGAGUUUGCUCUGGUGCGAGUUCCCAGUAUUGGUGUGAAUUUCAUUCAAGAAACAAAGCCUGCGACUGCAGUUUGUGUUACUGUUCAGGAGGACGGCAGUGUCCUCAUGGAAAACGGCAUCAUACGCACUGUUGUGAAAAAAGAUGGCACAAUGGCAUCACUGCAUUUGAUAUCUGCAAACAGGGAAGCUCUUUCGGUUGGCUGCUGUGGUAACCAGUUUGUCAUGUUUGAUGACGUACCUCUGUACUGGGAUGCAUGGGAUGUUAUGGACUACCAUCUUCAGACAAGGAGGCCUGUGGUGGAAGUGGUGCAGCCUGCUCAUGUGCUCUCUUCGCAUGAACUCAGAGGAAGUGUCAGCUUCACGCUGAGGAUCAGCGACAAGAGUACAGUCACACAGGAGAUUGUGAUGGACGCCAUGUGUCCUUACAUUAAGUUCAACACGCAGGUGAACUGGGCCGAGUCACACAAGUUUCUUAAGGUUGAAUUCCCAGUGCAAGUGCACAGUCCCAACGCAACGUAUGAGAUUCAGUUUGGUCAUCUGCAGAGACCUACACACAGGAACACAUCGUGGGACUGGGCCAGAUUUGAAGUAUGGGGUCAUAAAUGGGCCGAUUUGUCAGAGCACAAUUUUGGAGUGGCACUGCUCAAUGACUGCAAGUACGGGUAUUCGGUCUUCAAGAACACAAUGGCGCUCUCGCUGUUGAGGGCGCCAAAGGCUCCAGAUGCCAACGCUGAUAUGGGAUCUCAUCACUUCACCUAUGCAAUCAUGCCACACGCAGGGACCUUACAAGAUGCCGGAGUCAUCCAAUGUUCGUACAACCUCAAUUACCCUUUAAGGUUAACCCCGUCCUCCUCUGACAUGGCGCUCUGGAGCGCCUUUUCCAUUAGCCCUGCAGCUGUCAUCCUAGAGACUGUUAAACAGGCGGAAGGCAGGAAGGGAGCCCUCCUUGUCAGAAUGUACGAGGCUUACGGCGGAGGUGUGACUGCAACCCUCCACACAACUCUUCCAAUCAAGGAGGCCUGGCAUUGUGAUCUUUUAGAGCAAACAGACACUACUCAGCCAGCAUGUGACUCUGCAGAUGGGAUCAUUCUCCACUUCACUCCAUUCCAACUUAGAUCGCUGCUGCUUAUAUUUUAAACAGCAAGUCAUCAGACACAGAGUGGAACCUCUUAAGGUUGAGGGCGCCAAAGGCUCCAGAUGCCAACGCUGAUAUGGGAUCUCAUCACUUCACCUAUGCAAUCAUGCCACACGCAGGGACCUUACAAGAUGUCGGAGUCAUCCAAUGUGCGUACAACCUCAAUUACCCUUUAAGGUUAACCCCGUGCUCCUCUGACAUGGCGCUCUGGAGCGCCUUUUCCAUUAGCCCUGCAGCUGUCAUCCUAGAGACUGUUAAACAGGCGGAAGGCAGGAAGGGAGCCCUCCUUGUCAGAAUGUACGAGGCUUACGGCGGAGGUGUGACUGCAACCCUCCACACAACUCUUCCAAUCAAGGAGGCCUGGCAUUGUGAUCUUUUAGAGCAAACAGACACUACUCAGCCAGCAUGUGACUCUGCAGAUGGGAUCAUUCUCCACUUCAUUCCAUUCCAAGUUAGAUCGCUGCUGCUUAUAUUUUAAACAGCAAGUCAUCAGACACAGAGUGGAACCUCUUAAGGUAUUUUUAGGGAAAGUUUGCCUUAAGUUGCACAAAUUGUCCUCAAGUGACAUCAUUUAAUUCAAAUGUACAUGUGGGUUUUUUUGUGAUGUCACAAUAGAAGAUUGGUAACACGUUGGUACAAAAUUGCUAAUAAUGAAGGAACAACUCUGGAAAAUACAGUGGGGCAAAAAAGUAUUUAUUCAGCCAGGGAUUGUGCAAGUUCUCCCGCUUAAAAUGAUGACAGAGGUCUGUAAUUUUCAUCAUAGGUACACUUCAACUGUGAGAGACAGAAGGUGAAAAAAAAAUCCAGGAAUUCACAUUGUAGGAAUUUUAAAUAAUUUAUUUGUAAAUAAAAAUAAGAUAUAUAUUCAGCAAUAUAAUUUUAUAGCUGCUGGACAACUUAAAGGGCCGAUUAAACCCAUCCAUCCAUCUUCUUCCGCUUAUCCGAGGUCGUGGGCGCAACAACCUAAGCAGGGAAACCCAGACUUCCCUGUCUCCAGCCACUUCGUCUAGCUCUUCCCGGGGGAUCCCGAGGCGUUCCCAGGCCAGCCGGGAGACAUAGUCUUCCCAACGUGUCCUGGGUCUUCCCCGUGGCCUCCUACCGGCUGGACGUGCCCUAAACACCUCCCUAGGGAGGCGUUCGGGUGGCAUCCUGACCAGAUGCCCGAACCACCUCAUCUGGCUCCUCUCCAUGUGAAGGAGCAGCGGCUUUACUUUGAGUUCCUCCCGGAUGGCAGAGCUUCUCACCCUAUCUCUAAGGGAGAGGAGGAAACUCAUUUGGGCCGCUUGUACCCGUGAUCUUAUCCUUUCGGUCAUGACCCAGUACUUUAGCUUGAUUGCUAGCUAAGUAGUUAGUUAGCUAGCCCAAACUAUUUUAGCUAAGGUACAAAUCAGUACUUAGUACUAAAAAGUGACAAUAAUGAUGAAAUGUGCGUGCAGGUGUGUGAUAUUAAACACUUACUUUUAUGCUGAAAAUGUAUUUUCAGUCUUAUCUUAUCAAACUGCUAUUCACUUCCUCUUCCACGGUCCUCUUCCUUUUUGAAUUACCAGGUGUGUCUCGAUCAUUACCUUCCCCACUUCCGGUCUCUUCUUUCACUUCCUGGGUCAUACCAAUUUAAACUACCUUUAAUGUGUAGCAUUUCUUCCACAAAUACCAUGAUGAUUAAUCUUGAAACUAUCAAAAUAACGUGAAAACCUGUUUGAAAAAAAACAUUAAUAUAAUAAUUAUGUGAUAAAAAGUCAAAAUUAUGAGAUAAAGUCAACAUUAUGAGAUAAAAAUACAUAAUUAUAAGAUGUAAACCCUAACUAUGUAAUACGAAAAAAAAUCUAAAUAUCUAACUAAAAAGUCUAAAUUAUUGGCUAAAAAGUCAAAAUUAUGAGAUCAAAAAAAUCGAAAUCAUCAGAUAAAAAAACAACAACAUAAUUGUGUGAUUAAAAAGUCGAAAUUAUGAGAUAAAGUCAACAUUGUGGGAUAAAAAUACAUAAUUAUAAGAUAAAAAGUCCUAAUUAUGAAAUAAAAAAAAUCUAAAUAAUUAAAUAAAAAGUCAACAUUAUGAGAUAAAAAUACAUAAUUAUAAGAUGUAAAGCCCUAACUAUGUAAUACGAAAAAAAAAUGUAAAUAUCUAACUAAAAAGUCUAAAUUAUUGGCUAAAAAGUCAAAAUUAUGAGAUCAAAAAAAUCGAAAUCAUCAGAUAAAAAACAACAACAUAAUUGUGUGAUUAAAAAGUCGAAAUUAUGAGAUAAAGUCAACAUUAUGAGAUAAAAAUACAUAAUUAUAAGAUGUAAAGCCCUAACUAUGUAAUACAAAAAAAAAUCCAAAUAUCUAACUAAAAAGUCAAAAUUAUUGGCUAAAAAGUCAAAAUUAUGAGAUCAAAAAAAUCGAAAUCAUCAGAUAAAAAAAAAGAACAUAAUUGUGUGAUUAAAAAGUCGAAAUUAUGAGAUAAAGUCAACAUUGUGGGAUAAAAAUACAUAAUUAUAAGAUAAAAAGUCCUAAUUAUGAAAUAAAAAAAAUCUAAAUAAUUAAAUAAAAAGUCAACAUUUUGAGAUAAAAAGACAUAAUUAUAAGAUGUAAGUAAAGCCUUAACUAUGUAAUACAAAAAAAAUCCAAAUAUCUAACUAAAAAGUCUAAAUUAUUGGCUAAAAAGUCAAAAUUGUGAGAUAAAAAAAAUCGAAAUCAUCAGAUUAAAAAAAAAUCAUAAUUGUGUGAUUAAAAAGUCGAAAUUAUGAGAUAAAGUCAACAUUGUGGGAUAAAAAUACAUAAUUAUAAGAUAAAAAGUCCUAAUUAUGAAAUAAAAAAAAUCUAAAUAAUUAAAUAAAAAGUCAACAUUAUGAGAUAAAAUACAUAAUUAUAAGAUGUAAAGCCCUAACUAUGUAAUACGAAAAAAAAUCUAAAUAUCUAACUAAAAAGUCUAAAUUAUUGGCUAAAAAGUCAAAAUUAUGAGAUCAAAAAAAUCGAAAUCAUCAGAUGAAAAAAAAAAUCAUAAUUGUGUGAUUAAAAAGUCAAAAUUAUGAGAUAAAGUCAACAUUGUGGGAUAAAAAUACAUAAUUGUAAGAUAAAAAGUCCUAAUUAUGAAAUUUAAAAAAAUCUAAAUAAUUAAAUAAAAAGUCAACAUUAUGAGAUAAAAAGACAUAAUUAUAAGAUGUAAAGCCCUAACUAUGUAAUACAAAAAAAAAAUCCAGAUAUCUAACUAAAAAGUCUAAAUUAUUGGCUAAAAAGUCAAAAUUGUGAGAUAAAAAAGAUCGAAAUCAUCAGAUUAAAAAAAAAUCAUAAUUGUGUGAUUAAAAAGUCGAAAUUAUGAGAUAAAGUCAACAAUGUGGGAUAAAAAUACAUAAUUAUAAGAUAAAAAGUCCUAAUUAUGAAAUAAAAAAAAUCUAAAUAAUUAAAUAAAAAGUCAACAUUAUGAGAUAAAAUACAUAAUUAUAAGAUGUAAAGCCCUAACUAUGUAAUACGAAAAAAAAUCUAAAUAUCUAACUAAAAAGUCUAAAUUAUUGGCUAAAAAGUCAAAAUUAUGAGAUAAAGUCAACAUUGCGGGAUAAAAAGACAUAAUUAUAAGAUAAAAAGUCCUAAUUAUGAAAUUAAAAAAAUCUAAAUAAUUAAAUAAAAAGUCAACAUUAUGAGAUAAAAAUACAUAAUUAUAAGAUGUAAAACCCUAACUAUGUAAUACAAAAAAAAAUCUAAAUAUCUAACUAAAAAGUCUAAAUUAUUGGCUAAAAAGUCUAAAUUAUGAGAUCAAAAAAAUCGAAAUCAUCAGAUGAAAAAAAAAAUCAUAAUUGUGUGAUUAAAAAGUCAAAAUUAUGAGAUAAAGUCAACAUUGUGGGAUAAAAAUACAUAAUUAUAAGAUAAAAAGUCCUAAUUAUGAAAUUAAAAAAAAUCUAAAUAAUUAAAUAAAAAGUCAACAUUAUGAGAUAAAAAGACAUGAUUAUAAGAUGUAAAGCCCUAACUAUGUAAUACAAAAAAAAAUCCAGAUAUCUAACUAAAAAGUCUAAAUUAUUGGCUAAAAAGUCAGAAUUGUGAGAUAAAAAAAAUCGAAAUCAUCAGAAUAAAAAAAAAUCAUAAUUGUGUGAUUAAAAAGUCGAAAUUAUGAGAUAAAGUCAACAUUGUUGGAUAAAAAUACAUAAUUAUAAGAUAAAAAGUCCUAAUUAUGAAAUAAAAAAAAUCUAAAUAAUUAAAUAAAAAGUCAACAUUAUGAGAUAAAAAUACAUAAUUAUAAGAUGUAAAGCCCUAACUAUGUAAUACGAAAAAAAAUCUAAAUAUCUAACUAAAAAGUCAAAAUUAUUGGCUAAAAAGUCAAAAUUAUGAGAUAAAGUCAACAUUGCGGGAUAAAAAGACAUAAUUAUAAGAUAAAAAGUCCUAAUUAUGAAAUAAAAAAAAUCUAAAUAAUUAAAUAAAAAGUCAACAUUAUGAGAUAAAAAGACAUAAUUAGAAGAUAUAAUUCCUAAUUACAUAAUACAUUAAAAAUAUCUGAAUAAUUAAAUAAAAAGUCAAAAUGAUGAGAUAAAACAAAUCGGAAUCAUGAGAUUUAAAAAAAAUCAUAAAUGUGUGAUUAAAAAUAUCGAAAUUAUGAGAUGAAUUAGUACGCGACACAUUAAAAUAAGUUAUAAUUAUGACUUUUUAUCUCAUCAUUUCAAAUUUAUUUUCUUAUUUAAACUUUUAUCACAUAAUUAUGACUGACGUAUUUUAGUUUUUUUCAGUGGCGGGGGAAAAAAAGUUUAUGCUAAAUAAAUACAAGUUAAAGAUACACAUUUUCUAAAAUGAAAAACAGUAGGGGACGCCAAAAGUCAUAACUGUAUAUUCCAUGUUCUUUGUUACUACUCAAAUAUAAGUUUUUGUUAACUAUCAUGUUAGAACCACUAUGGACUGGACUCUCACACUAUUAUGUUAGAUCCACUAUGGACUGGACUCUUACUAUCAUGUUAGAUCCACUAUGGACUGGACUCUCUCACUAUUAUGUUAGAUCCACUAUGGACUGGACUCUCUCACUAUUAUGUUAGAUCCACUAUGGACUGGACUCCCUCACUAUUAUGUUAGAUCCACUAUGGACUGUACUCUCUCACUAUUAUGUUAGAUCCACUAUGGACUGGACUUUCACUAUUAUGUUAGAUCCACUAUGGACUGGACUCUUACUAGUAUGUUAGAUCCACUAUGGACUGGACUCUCACCAUUAUGUUAGAUCCACUAUGGACUGGACUCUCACUAUUAUGUUAGAUCCACUAUGGACUGGACUUUCACUAUUAUGUUAGAUCCACUAUGGACUUGACUCUCACUAUUAUGUUAGAUCCACUAUGGACUGGACUCUCACACUAUUAUGUUAGAUCCACUAUGGACUGGACUCUCACACUAUUAUGUUAGAUCCACUAUGGACUGGACUCUCACACUAUUAUGUUAGAUCCACUAUGGACUGGACUCUCACACUAUUAUGUUAGAUCCACUAUGGACUGGACUCUCACACUAUUAUGUUAGAUCCACUAUGGACUGUACUCUCUCACUAUUAUGUUAGAUUCACUAUGGACUGGACUCUCACACUAUUAUGUUAGAUCCACUAUGGACUGGACUCUCACUAUUAUGUUAGAUCCACUAUGGACUGGACCCUCACACUAUUAUGUUAUAUCCACUAUGGACUGUACUCUCUCACUAUUAUGUUAGAUCCACUAUGGACUGGACUUUCACUAUUAUGUUAGAUCCACUAUGGACUGGACUCUCACUAUUAUGUUCGAUCCACUAUGGACUGGACUCUUACUAGUAUGUUAGAUCCACUAUGGACUGGACUUUCACUAUUAUGUUAGAUCCACUAUGGACUGGACUCUCACACUAUUAUGUUAGAUCCACUAUGGACUGGACUCACACUAUUAUGUUGUAUCCACUAUGGACUGGACUCUCACUAUCAUGUUAGAUCAACUAUGGACUGGACUCUCACACUAUUAUGUUGUAUCCACUAUGGACUGGACUCUCACUAUCAUGUUAGAUCCACUAUGGACUGGACUCUCACUAUUAUAUUAGAACCACUAUGGACUGGACUCUCACACUAUUAUGUUAUAUCCACUAUGGACUGGACUCUCACUAUUAUGUUAGAUCUACUAUGGACUGGACUCUCACACUAUUAUGUUGGAUCCACUAUGGACUGGACUCUCACACUAUUAUGUUAUACCCACUAUGGACUGGACUCUCACUAUCAUGUUAGAUCCACUAUGGACUGGACUCUCACACUAUUAUGUUGGAUCCACUAUGGACUGGACUCUCACACUAUUAUGUUAGAUCCACUAUGGACUGGACUCUCACUAUCAUGUUAGAUCCACUAUGGACUGGACUCUCACUAUUAUAUUAGAACCACUAUGGACUGGACUCUCACACUAUUAUGUUAUAUCCACUAUGGACUGGACUCUCACUAUCAUGUUAGAUCCACUAUGGACUGGACUCUCACUAUUAUGUUAGAUCCACUAUGGACUGGACUCUCACACUAUUAUGUUAGAUCCACUAUGGACUGGACUCUCACUAUUAUAUUAGAACCACUAUGGACUGGACUCUCACUAUUAUGUUAGAUCCACCAUGGACUGGACUCUCACUAUUAUGUUAGAUCCACUAUGGACUGGACUCUCACACUAUUAUGUUAGAUCCACUAUGGACUGGACUUUCUCACUAUUAUGUUAGAUUCACUAUGGACUGGACUCUCACUAUCAUGUUAGAUCCACUAUGGACUGGACUCUCACACUAUUAUGUUGGAUCCACUAUGGACUGGACUCUCACACUAUUAUGUUAUAUCCACUAUGGACUGGACUCUCACUAUCAUGUUGGAUCCACUAUGGACUGGACUCUCACUAUUAUGUUGGAUCCACUAUGGACUGGACUCUCACUAUUAUGUUAGAUCCACUAUGGACUGGACUCUCACUAUUAUGUUUGAUCCACUAUGGACUGGACUCUCACACUAUUAUGUUAGAUCCACUAUGGACUGGACUCUCACUAUCAUGUUAGAUCCACUAUGGACUGGACUCUCACACUAUUAUGUUAGAUCCACUAUGGACUGGACUCUCACUAUCAUGUUAGAUCCACUAUGGACUGGACUCUCACUAUUAUAUUAGAACCACUAUGGACUGGACUCUCACUAUCAUGUUAGAUCCACUAUGGACUGGACUCUCACACUAUUAUGUUAGAUCCACUAUGGACUGGACUCUCACACUAUUAUGUUAGAUCCACUAUGGACUGGACUCUCACUAUCAUGUUAGAUCCACUAUGGACUGGACUCUCACUAUUAUAUUAGAACCACUAUGGACUGGACUCUCACACUAUUAUGUUAUAUCCACUAUGGACUGGACUCUCACUAUCAUGUUAGAUCCACUAUGGACUGGACUCUCACUAUUAUGUUAGAUCCACUAUGGACUGGACUCUCACACUAUUAUGUUAGAUCCACUAUGGACUGGACUCUCACUAUUAUAUUAGAACCACUAUGGACUGGACUCUCACUAUUAUGUUAGAUCCACUAUGGACUGGACUCUCACUAUUAUGUUAGAUCCACUAUGGACUGGACUCUCACACUAUUAUGUUAGAUCCACUAUGGACUGGACUUUCUCACUAUCAUGUUAGAUCCACUAUGGACUGGACUCUCACACUAUUAUGUUAGAUCCACUAUGGACUGGACUCUCACUAUCAUGUUAGAUCCACUAUGGACUGGACUCUCACUAUUAUGUUAGAUCCACUAUGGACUGGGCUCUCACACUAUUAUGUUAGAUCCACUAUGGACUGGACUCUCACUAUUAUGUUAGAUCCACUAUGGACUGGACUCUCACACUAUUAUGUUAGAUCCACUAUGGACUGGACUCUCACUAUUAUGUUGGAUCCACUAUGGACUGGACUCUCACACUAUUAUGUUAGAUCCACUAUGGACUGGACUCUCACUAUUAUGUUGGAUCCACUAUGGACUGGACUCUCACACUAUUAUGUUAGAUCCACUAUGGACUGGACUCUCACUAUUAUGUUGGAUCCACUAUGGACUGGACUCUCACACUAUUAUGUUAGAUCCACUAUGGACUGGACUCUCACUAUUAUGUUGGAUCCACUAUGGACUGGACUCUCACACUAUUAUGUUAGAUCCACUAUGGACUGGACUCUCACACUAUUAUGUUGGAUCCACUAUGGACUGGACUCUCACUAUCAUGUUAGAUCCACUAUGGACUGGACUCUCACUAUUAUAUUAGAACCACUAUGGACUGGACUCUCACACUAUUAUGUUAGAUCCACUAUGGACUGGACUCUCACUAUUAUGUUAGAUCUACUAUGGACUGGACUCUCACUAUUAUGUUAGAUCCACUAUGGACUGGACCCUCACACUAUUAUGUUAGAUCCACUAUGGACUGGACUCUCACUAUUAUGUUAGAUCUACUAUGGACUGGACUCUCACACUUCUAUGUUAGAUCCACUAUGGACUGGACUCUCACUAUUAUGUUAGAUCCGCUAUGGACUGGACUCUCACUAUUAUGUUAGAUCUACUAUGGACUGGACUCUCACUAUUAUGUUAGAUCCACUAUGGACUGGACUCUCACACUAUUAUGUUAGAUCCACUAUGGACUGGACUCUCACACUAUUAUGUUAGAUCCACUAUGGACUGGACUCUCACUAUUAUGUCAGAUCCACUAUGGACUGAACUCUCACUAUUAUGUUAGAUCCACUAUGGACUGGACUCUCACUAUUAUGUUAGAUCCACUAUGGACUGGACUCUCACACUAUUAUGUUAGACCCACUUGACGUCCAUUGCUUUUGGUCUCCCGUCGGGGAGGAGGGAUGGACAACCACAUUUGCAGUCCUCUCCAAGGUUUCUCCUUGUCAUUGUCAUUGUCAUUGACGUCCCAUUGGGUUGUAAGUUUUCCCUUGCCCUUAUUUGGGCACUGAUCGGCGGAUGUCGUUUUGGCUUGUGCAGCCCUUUGAGACACUUGUGAUUUAGAGCUAUAUGAGUAAACAUUGAUUGAUUAUCUUAUAUUUUUCUUAACAAGCAAUAGCAUCAAACUGUUGGACUUUGUCAGCACCAACCAGUGUGGGGAUUUCUGGCUGACCCACUUGUUGACGUGGACAACUUUCCCUGCGUCUUUGUGGCAGUGGCCUACUUUGUGUUGUUGCCAAACGUUUAAUUCAGAUCAGCUCAAAAGAAUGAUUGCUGCACUCAGGGGCGUAACACCAAAUGCUAGGCCCCCCAUACAGAAGACUGUCAAUCAACAUAGCCUACUGUCCAUCAACAACAUCAGAAAUACAUUCAUGCAAUACAACAUUGUAAAUAAACAUAAAUGAACUGUAAUAAUAUUUUCCCCAACUUGUGUUUGAAUCAACUACUUCUUUCUAUUGCUGCUUUUGUACUGUAAAUAUGUUUGUCACUAAUACUCAAAUACAAGCAGAUUAGUGUCCACUGGUUGUUCCUAUUUGAAAGAGCCAAACACGUGCCUCCGCCGGUCUGUCACAGAAAUGAACUGCUGGCCAAAAAUAUGUUGAUGCGUGACAGAUACUUUAAGGACAAUGACCAUAGAACUUGAUGGUACAGUUACUGCCUGAGCAAAAAGGCUUUUACUAAAUAUGAAUAUUACUUCAUAUUUAUGAAUUGUAUUUUAGCAUUGUAAAAUCACAUGAUCAUCUAGUGAGGGUUUAUUGUGUUUCCACCACUUUGCUAUUUUCAAAACGUUGCUCACUUCUACACAAAUACAUGAAACUAAAAAAUAAUUUCAAAAAUAAAACGGAAAGGUGAAAUCCGGCGAUCUGAUUGGCUGUUAACCGUGGUUUAAAUAUUCUAAAGCCUUAUCACAGCGCAGGCUAUCACUCCACCUCAGGCACGCAUGACUGGUAUGAAUGGAAGUUGUUGUCAUGUAUCCAUGACAACGGACUGUUGCAUUCCAUAGUAAAAGACAGCUGAUGUUUUUACGAUCUUAAAAAACGGACUAAAGUAGUUGAAUUCACAUGUUUAAGGUUAACUUUCACCUCCGGGGAGGGUUAACAAUGGUAGAGGGGACUGAGCAUUGACUUUCACCUGAAAAAAAGUGGAGGAAAAGACGAGAUGCAGUGCUAAUUUGGAGCUAACGUCUGGAUAGGUGGGACUAUUUUUUCCACAUUGAGGCUGUUUUAUUGGAUAAUAUGUAUUUCGGGUUGAAUAAAACUACAUUAAAUUGAUUGAGUAUUCCUAUUUCAUAUUGCCUUUAUUUGUAACCGUUUUAUAAAAGCAAUAUAUCACUCCAGUCCAUGGUAUAUGCUCAUUAUAGCACUCUAAGGGGCGUGACUGGAGUGAUAUAUUGUUGAUUUAUUCAAUAUUGUUGAGCUUCUAUACACCCUUGAAAUAACUUAGUUUGACUCCUAAAGAAGUCUUUUAUAUCCAGUUUUCUUUUCAUUGACAUCCUUCAAAACCUACAGCACACACGCACGCAAACAGACACAAACACAAUGUAAAUCACACCACUGAUAUUAAAAUCCAUCUAGCUACCGUGUGCCAAGAACAACAAAUGCCGAACAUGUUGACAACUUACACUUACUUACAACUUACAGUUACUUACAACUUACACUUACUUACAACUUACAACUUACACUUACUUACAACUUACAGUUACUUACAACUUACACUUACUUACAACUUACAGUUACUUACAAGUUAGAACUUACAACUUACACCGAGUUGCACUGCCUCUCGUCCGCUCGCUAGCAACUAGCAUGUAGGCUAGCUUUUACAAGCAGAAGGAGUGACAGCGGGGACAGCCAAUCACACGUAAGUUAGCUUGAAACCGGCAACCAAUCAGGGAGCGAGAUUUAGGUUAGAGGCGGGACUUCUAGCAGAGACCGACAUUUAACCCUUUCUGUGCCAUAAUCAUUGACUAAACAUUACGGGCAGCGCUUGUAUUGAUAGUGACUACACAGUAGCGGCUGGAUAUUGGUAGGGACGUGUCCCUAGCGUCCCUACCCGAUUCUACGCCCUUGAUUUGGGUAGAAACCAGCUUUUUUCAUGUAAAAACCUUACUGUAUUUUCCUGUCCAUAGGACGCACCGGAUUAUAAGGCGCACCGCCGAUGAGCGGGUCUAGUCAGGUCUUUUUUCAUACAAAAGGCGCACCGGAUUAUAAAACGCAUUAAAGGGGUCUUUUUCUUUUUUUAAUGGAAAACUCUUUCCUGCGGUCUACAUAACAUGUAAUGGUGGUUCUUUGGUCAAAAUGUUGCAUGGAUUAUGUUUUCCAGACAAUAUUCAAGUCGCUUUCUGACAGUCGCUUUGGUAUGCGGCGUUUUGUGGGCGGUCUUUUUUACGCGGCUCACCUUCGGCAGCGUCUUUUUUCGUCAUCUUUGUUUUAGCGGUGUAGCGUGCAAGGACGGGAGUAGAAGACGUGUCAAAAGAACUGUUUUAAUGACAUUCACACUUCAGCAUAUCCUCAUCCAUGGCUCACUAGUAGUAUAAUAACAAGGCCAGAAAUGUGUCCCGUGAAAAACAUCCGACCGGAACUCUCUAAUAACUGAAGUUCCUUGGGUGAAUUAUGUAAACUCACUACACCGGUAUGUUUUAGUGCUUUCAUGGCAAGUUUACUGACAGAUAUAUGUAAGAACUUUACACUAAUUUGUAUUAGAAAUGGCAACAGCGGAGGAUGAAUGUCCCAAAAUAAGAAGAUGGAGAAAAAGAAGAAGCUUAUCGACUACGGUUGUUCACAGACUACAAAGGCGGACGCGCGCAAUUUUUCAGGACUUAUGCAGAUCCAGAAUACAGAUCAGCAGGUACCAGAAGGUAAGAAAAGUUGCUUUUGCAUAAUAUUGCGAAACAAAACAACAGAUAAUAUAAUGAUACUUAUAUGUUGAAGCACAGUACAAUCCAUCAAGCGGUGCGGCUUCAUAGCUUACAAAAGUCGUACUAUAACAUUUUGAUGGAUUAUUGAGCGCCGUGUGUAAAGUUCGAUAUUUUCAAUGGAACAUAUAAAAUGUUGGUGUUGAUUACUUGAGUCAUAUUGCAAUCCACACGUUUCUCUUGUGUGUGACUGCCAUCUACUGGUCACACUUAUCAUUUCACCAUGUACCAAAUAUAAUAGCUUCGAGUUCGUUAAACAAAACCAAAAUAAUUUCGUACUUUAGGCACGCCGGGUUAUAAGGCGCACUGUCGAGUUUUUAGAAAAUUAAAGGAGUUUAAGUGCGCCUCAUAAUCCGAAAAAUACGUUAAUUAUGGUUUUGGCUUUUUAAAGAUGGGGCUAAUAUCUAUAUAAUCCAGUAAAUCCUUUAGUUUGUAAGAUGAGUCACAAUAACACAUUAUUAUGAUUAUUAGUGACUCUCCAAGGGGUUAAGUUUCUCCGUCCUUAACACAUUGUGACACCUUUUUCUAACUUUGAACAAGGGUGUUUGAACGCACCACAUUUAUGACGUUUUUAUAACUUCCAUAUUUAAAUGACAGACAAAAAAAGUGACACUCAAAUAUUAUAUUCAGAAGUUUAUUAAACCACCAUUUCAAUAUACGGUACAUUCAAGUAAACCGAGCAAAGAGGAACGUUUAUGUUUAAAACUGGUAAGACUGAUAUUUAUAUUUACACCAUAAAUACAUAAAAUGUAUCGUGUACAAAUAGUUGCAUGAAAAACUUGCACUUUAAAUAUGUAUAGAUGUUGUCUAUACAGGAGGAUGGUCAUUUAUUGUUUUAUUAAAAUACAUGGAUUUUUACUAUACAUGACACAGACAAAAAGACAGAAUAUCGUAAUCAUAACUUAUUUAACUGCCUCAUAAUGAAGCACUCAAGGUCCAUUUUGAACUCUUGUUUAUAAAGUAACCAAAUAUGGUU